GAUGAAGAACGCAGCGAAAUGCGAUAAGUAAUGUGAAUUGCAGAAUUCAGUGAAUCAUCGAAUCUUUGAACGCACAUUGCGCCCGCCAGUAUUCUGGCGGGCAUGCCUGUUCGAGCGUCAUUUCAACCCUCAGGGCCCCUUUGGACCUGGCGUUGGGGCUCGGCCGCUACCCUGCGGCCGUCCCCGAAAGAUAGUGGCGGUCUCGCUGUAGCCUCCUCUGCGUAGUAGUUACAUCUCGCACUGGAACGCGGCGCGGCCAUGCCGUUAAACACCCCACUUCUCAAGGUUGACCUCGGAUCAGGUAGGAAUACCCGCUGAACUUAAGCAUAUCAAUAAGCGGAGGA
rnacentral:misc_RNA from 1 species